AAGAAUAUCUUGCAGGGGUAUUACAGCAGUUUGGGCCACUGAUGCAAAUACAGCUUGGAUGAGUGCCCAUGAUAUAUCAUCUUCUUCAGUAAUUGAAAGAUACUUCAGUACAUUUGACUUCUCCUCUUGCUCCACAACAUCCCACCAACCUCGGUGCAUCGUUUCAUUAUCAUGAGUUCCAGUGUAUACAACUUGAUUGGCUUCAUGGUUAUGAGGUAAAUGAGGGUUAUCUGCAUCACUUCCAAAACCAAACUGAAGGACAGCCAUUCCCGGAGCACCAAUAGAUUUCCUAAGCUGCACUACAUCCUCAGUAAUAACUCCCAAAUCUUCUGCUAUGAUGCUGAUCUUUCCAACAGCUCUGGAGAUGGCAUCAAAGACGGAUUUCCCAGGUCCAGCCUUCCAGUUUCCAACCAUUGCAAUUUUUGCAUCAGAAGGAACAGCCCAAAAUCCAGCAAAACCUCUAAAAUGGUCAAUCCUAAAUUCAUCAUACAGAUCUUGAGCUCGUUGUAUGCGGCGUAUCCACCAUGAAUAUCCAUCUUUCUCCAUGGCUUUCCAAUCAUAGAGAGGGCUGCCCCACAAUUGACCUGUAUCACUGAAGGCAUCAGGAGGAACACCACUGACUAGAAGAGGAAAGCCAUUCCUGUUCAACAAAAAAUGUUUCUUAUUUGCCCAAACAUCAGCACUGUGAUAACCUACAUAAAUGGGCAUGUCCCCCAUUAUACUAAUUCCCUUCUCCCAUGCAUAGUUGCGCACUUUCUGCCAUUGCCUCUGGAACAAGAACUGUUGGGCGAUGAAAAUCUCUAUAAAAUCCUUUUUGCUUUGAUAAAUUUCCUCCAAGGCUGCAAGAUGGCGGUUUUUUAAAGGUUCAGGCCAAUCGUACCAAUUCAAUGUAUUUAAAGUAUCAUCAAUAGCAGCAAAAUAAGCUGCAUCUUCAAGCCAACCUGAUAUUCUAGGGUCUUUGCGGAAAUCUUCAAGCUGACUUUUAAGCUGACCACCACUCUGAAUAAGCCUCUCUGCAGCCUUAGCUACCAAGGGAUCCUUUAGCUUACUAACAGCAGAAAAGUUCACACGAUCAGAGAUUACUGGAUCUGGAAGCUCAUCCUUUGUCAACAAUCCAUCCUUUACAAGCUCUUCCAGAGAAAUUAAGAGCGUAUUACCACAAUUUGCAUCCUGCCCUGAGUAUGGUGAUCCUUCUUC
rnacentral:misc_RNA from 1 species